UCCCUGGUGGCUCAGUGGUAAAGAAUCUGCCUGCUAAUGCAGGAGACAUGGGUUCGAUCCCUGACCUGGGAA
rfam:Ovis aries breed Texel chromosome 12, whole genome shotgun sequence.